GACGAACGCUGGCGGCGCGCCUAACACAUGCAAGUCGAACGGAGUCAGGAGGAGCUUGCUUUUCUUGACUUAGUGGCGGACGGGUGAGUAACGCGUGAGUAACCUGCCCUGGAGUGGGGGACAACAGUUGGAGACGACUGCUAAUACCGCAUAAGCCCACGGAUCCGCAUGGUUCUGCGGGAAAAGGAUUUAUUCGCAUCAGAAUGGAGUCGCGUCCAAUUAGCUGGUAGGUGAGGUAACGGCCAACAAAGGGGACCUUUGGUAACCGGACUGGGAGGUCGAACCGCACCCUUGGGAGAGGGACCAGGCCCGAAUUCUGGCGGAUGGGCGCAGGGGUGAUAUUGCACAAUGGGGGAAACGCAGAUGCAGCGACGCCGCGUGGAGGAAGAAGGUUUUCGGAUUGUAAACUCCUGUCGUUAGGGACGAUAAUGACGGUACCUAACAAGAAAGCACCGGCUAACUACGUG
rnacentral:rRNA from 1 species